rnacentral:rRNA from 1 species
GACGGGGCCCGCACAAGCGGUGGAGCAUGUGGUUAAUUCGAAGCAACGCGGAGAACCUUACCAGGUCUUGACAUCCGAUGCUAUUUCUAGAGAUAGAAAGUUACUUCGGUACAUCGGUGACAGGUGGUGCAUGGUUGUCGUCAGCUCGUGUCGUGAGAUGUUGGGUUAAGUCCCGCAACGAGCGCAACCCCUAUUGUUAGUUGCCAUCAUUCAGUUGGGCACUCUAGCGAGACUGCCGGUAAUAAACCGGAGGAAGGUGGGGAUGACGUCAAAUCAUCAUGCCCCUUAUGACCUGGGCUACACACGUGCUACAAUGGUUGGUACAACGAGUUGCGAGUCGGUGACGGCGAGCUAAUCUCUUAAAGCCAAUCUCAGUUCGGAUUGUAGGCUGCAACUCGCCUACAUGAAGUCGGAAUCGCUAGUAAUCGCGGAUCAGCACGCCGCGGUGAAUACGUUCCCGGGCCUU